rnacentral:rRNA from 1 species
UACGUAGGGUGCAAGCGUUGUCCGGAAUUAUUGGGCGUAAAGAGCUCGUAGGCGGCCUGUUGCGUCCGCUGUGAAAGCCCGGGGCUUAACCUCGGGACUGCAGUGGAUACGGGCAGGCUAGAGGUAGGUAGGGGAGAAUGGAAUUCCCGGUGUAGCGGUGAAAUGCGCAGAUAUCGGGAGGAACACCGGUGGCGAAGGCGGUUCUCUGGGCCUUACCUGACGCUGAGGAGCGAAAGCGUGGGGAGCGAACAGG